rnacentral:rRNA from 1 species
UACGGAGGAUGCGAGCGUUAUCCGGAUUUAUUGGGUUUAAAGGGUGCGUAGGCUGUCGGUUAAGUCAGCGGUGAAAUCAGCACGCUUAACGUGUUGUUUGCCGUUGAAACUGUCCGUCUUGAAUGCGCUCGUCGUGGGAGGAAUGUGUGGUGUAGCGGUGAAAUGCAUAGAUAUCACACAGAACACCGAUUGCGAAGGCAUCUCACGAGAGCGUUAUUGACGCUGAUGCACGAAAGCGCGGGUAUCGAACAGG